GUGUGCCUAUGCGUCAAUUCCCAUUUGCUCAGUAGUCCUCACGUAGGUAUACAUUUUUAAAAUUCCGUUUUUUGGUAUAGUUUCGUCCUUACGAUGGUUGCCGGUUUCCUUUUUUUUUUCUUUAGGUUUUACCAACCGAUUGUUUCGUUUCAUUGGUCGCAAUGUAUUUUAUAAAUUAUCCUUUUUCUAAGAUUUAAUAAACUCUCUUGUAUUUUUAUCUUCAUUUUGAAAUGAAAUAAAUAAUUGAAAAUGAGUGGUGUUGUUGCUUUGGUUUAUAGGUAGAGACAAAACGCAUCCAUGUCUCGUUUUAUGCUUUUCCAUCUCUUCAUUUGUGGCGAUGCGCUCUCUAUCUCUUUCUCUACGCCCUAAAAACUCUCUUGAUCAUGCAACUUUAUACGUAGAUUACUAUUAAAUUCUAUAGUUACUUUUUUUUUGUUCCCAAGUUAAUAUUAUAAAUACUCAGAAAAGGGAUCAACAUCGAGACCUUUUUGUUACAUUACUGUUAAUAGUUUAUAUUCUGAUGAACGACGCUACGUAUAUGAGUAUCUUUUGCACAUCCGUAGAGAGAGAAAAAGAGAGACAAAAGGACCCAACAUGCAAACAACAAGACACGAGCUUUCGGUUGCUUUCCACUUUCGUGAUUCUUCUUCUCUUGGGUAUGCUCAUGUCUUUU